rnacentral:rRNA from 1 species
CUCCAGUUGAUCGCAUGGUCUUCUGGGAAAGCUUUCGCGGUAUGGGAUGGGGUCGCGUCCUAUCAGCUUGACGGCGGGGUAACGGCCCACCGUGGCUUCGACGGGUAGCCGGCCUGAGAGGGCGACCGGCCACAUUGGGACUGAGAUACGGCCCAGACUCCUACGGGAGGCAGCAGUGGGGAAUAUUGCACAAUGGGCGCAAGCCUGAUGCAGCGACGCCGCGUGAGGGAUGGAGGCCUUCGGGUUGUAAACCUCUUUUAUCGGGGAGCAAGCGAGAGUGAGUUUACCCGUUGAAUAAGCACCGGCUAACUACGUGCCAGCAGCCGCGGUAAUACGUAGGGUGCAAGCGUUAUCCGGAAUUAUUGGGCGUAAAGGGCUCGUAGGCGGUUCGUCGCGUCCGGUGUGA